rnacentral:rRNA from 1 species
UGCAGUCGAGCGGUAGCACAGAGAGCUUGCUCUCGGGUGACGAGCGGCGGACGGGUGAGUAAUGUCUGGGAAACUGCCUGAUGGAGGGGGAUAACUACUGGAAACGGUAGCUAAUACCGCAUAACGUCGCAAGACCAAAGUGGGGGACCUUCGGGCCUCAUGCCAUCAGAUGUGCCCAGAUGGGAUUAGCUAGUAGGUGGGGUAACGGCUCACCUAGGCGACGAUCCCUAGCUGGUCUGAGAGGAUGACCAGCCACACUGGAACUGAGACACGGUCCAGACUCCUACGGGAGGCAGCAGUGGGGAAUAUUGCACAAUGGGCGCAAGCCUGAUGCAGCCAUGCCGCGUGUGUGAAGAAGGCCUUCGGGUUGUAAAGCACUUUCAGCGGGGAGGAAGGCGUUAAGGUUAAUAACCUUGUCGAUUGACGUUACCCGCAGAAGAAGCACCGGCUAACUCCGUGCCAGCAGCCGCGGUAAUACGGAGGGUGCAAGCGUUAAUCGGAAUUACUGGGCGUAAAGCGCACGCAGGCGGUCUGUCAAGUCGGAUGUGAAAUCCCCGGGCUCAACCUGGGAACUGCAUUCGAAACUGGCAGGCUAGAGUCUUGUAGAGGGGGGUAGAAUUCCAGGUGUAGCGGUGAAAUGCGUAGAGAUCUGGAGGAAUACCGGUGGCGAAGGCGGCCCCCUGGACAAAGACUGACGCUCAGGUGCGAAAGCGUGAGGAGCAAACAUGAUUAGAUACCCUGG